CCCGCCUCCCCAUUGGGCGCCGCAACAAAGAAAGGCGGGACUAAAGGCCCCGGGAAGAGGUGUGCGCGCCUCCCAUUGGCCGAGCCUCCCCCAGUCCCGGGAAAUCUGAUCGCUCGCCUUCGGAAAAGCCAUUCAAUCAUUAUUAUUUUUUAUUAUUAUUGUUUUAAGCAGCAGCGGGUGCAAUAGGUGCGUGGUGUCUAUAGGUUUUCCAAGUUCUUUUUCUAUAUCACACAGUGGCCUUAAUCAUGGAGCCUACAGCUGCAUUUGAGAUCAAGUUACCAGUGACAACAUUCCUGAGGAUUCGGCUCCAAACAGUCCAUGGGGAACUCAGCAGUUGUCUCAGCCAGAAGCCUUCUCAGUAUGGAAUUGCUGAACCCCUUCAUUAAAACAUGAGCUCCAGCGAUAGAGACCAUGGAGGUAUUGUUUCAAGAACUCAAGUCAACCAGCUGUGUGGGUCUGCUGUGUUGUCCAGUGUGUAUUUCCAGCAGAAAAAAGCAUUUGGAGAAAGCACUAUGAACAAAGAUGCUUCUCAUGGCAAUGAAAUUUGCUGUGUUUUACGGAUUUUCAGUAAAUCCUUGGCUUCUGUCGUGGUAACAAUGAAUGAAAUGCAAGUGAUUUUCAAACCCAAUGUACACUCUGUUUUCCUCAUUGUCUGACUGGGGGGGGCAAUUAAAUUUAGGUCAACUUGGACAAGAGGUAUUUCUCGUUUAAGGAGCACAUUGCUUGCAUACAAGAGGUCCCAAAAUUGAGCACCCAUAAAUCCCACAUCUUCAAGUAAAGCCAAAAGAUGUCUGAACUGGAAAAUCCCUGUCAGUCAACAGCAAUAAUACCAGAAUGACUGAGAUGACAUAUAGCAUAUUCGUAGUUCAGGUUUACUAUGGGGUUUUCCCUCUUGAAGUCUGUGGGGCUUUUUUGUAAUCCAAUGGUAUAGAAAUGGUAUAGAAAAAUGGUGGUCCUUGUAUUAAAUAGCUAAAUAAAAAUUGCCUUUGGGAGGAAAAUGGUGAAUAUUUUUUAAACUGUGGAUGGCAAAACCUAGGGAUGCAGAAUCUGUGGAUACAGAGGGCUGACUGUGCAUAGAAUAUGGUCACUGGAUGAUUAGCACAAGCUGUCGAAAAGAGAUGCUGCCAUCUGCUGCACAAAAUGGGCAGCAUCAUUCAUGUUCCAUUGCCUUGGCUUGAGUUAGCUUCACAUGUAUGCAGUCAGAAUAUCCCAUUGUGAUAUUUGCUGCCUAUAACAUUGGGUGCCAUAUGUACUAAUGUACUCAUUAGUACUGAUGUAGUACCAUUUUAAAAAUUAUUUUGGUGAGGGGGAAUGAUAGCUUAUAAUUGUUUAACAUACACACAACAUUGGGUACCUGAAGGCUAGAUUAGCAAGAUCUACCCAACUGGUAAGGUUUUGAUCAUGAUCCUGGAGGUGGAGUCAUGUCUCUGUUGUAUGCGCAAAGUAUAAACAGGUUCUUCACCAGAAGGAUGGCCACCAGGUGACACGUGUGCCAUGGCUUGUGUGCAUUGGACAACUGUGACUUGCAUCAGUGCAGAAAAUGCCAUCAACCUUGAAAUUAAAUUCUUCCCAGUGUGCAAGGAAUUAUCAAUGAAGAGAUCUGCAAAAUGGAAUAUUAUAUGUUAGGAAUAUAACCAUUAUAUCAUUUUUUCCCUUCAUUGUCGGUUUAGCCAAUCUUCCCCUAUUUUUAUUAUAUUUAAUUAUAUAUAAAUGUUUGUACUUUAUAAAUCAAUACUUUUCCAAUAUUUGAUCUUUUUAUAAGCAGAACAAUCAGUUCAAUUGUGUAAGUUUUUUAAAAAAGAAUUCCCAGCCUUGUGUUGCUGUUAAGAGAUUGUAUUGGCCAUUGUAUUCUUCCAAUGCUGUGGACUGUUUGUCCCAGCAGUACUAGCUAAUAUAAUUAAUGGUGAGGAAUGUGUAAAGUUAUAGACCAGCAACACCCAAAGUGCUGCAUAUUUCAACUCAGGUUUUAAACUGGUAUGAAUUGGCUUAUCAGUAAUUUCACUUACAUUAUAGUAAGAAAUUUUGACUGCUUGAACAGCAACAAAUGUUGUAGGCUAUAUUUGAAGGAACCACCUCUGAGUAUUCCUUGCCUAAGAAAACCCUGUGAUAUUCAUGGGAUCACCACAGAUCAACAGGCAAUCUGGAGGAACACACACGCAUUCAGAGACUUAUAUUCAACAUAUUUUGAAAGGACCCAACAAGUGCACAAAACUAACAGCAGAGGUCUCCCUCUACUGAAAGUUAAGAGAAUUAUCUCCAGCAGGCUUGAUCGAUCCACGAAAAAUUUGAUUCUAAACUCGUUUCAAAACUAGAGGGGGGCAGCUUUUCGUUUCUGAUGGUAUUUCCGAAUUUGGCCCCCCAAAAAAUUCGAAAUUAACGAAAAUUCGUUAUUUUCUAAAUUAAUUCGUUAAUGGCGGACGCGCAUGCGCAAUUCCCAAAAACAGCACAGAGGGAGAGGACUUUACAGGACUCUCCCACCCUCAUUUUUUGAGUGAUCUUCUUCCAACUUGGUACAGUGGUAGAACACAUUUAACACUGAUAGCUCACCAAAAUUUGGAACGUUUCCCUUAUCCUCUGAGUUUUGGCGAAUUUUCAUAGCUUUUAUAAUAAACCAUUUUUUAAUAAUUGCAGAAAUCUGUUCCUGGUUUGAAAGUCUUAUUUCCUGUUAAAUUGGGUUGUCUUUACUGUGAAAGUCAUUGUUCUACUUCAGAAACUUUGUUUUUGUGGCUGAAACUUUGUUAAAUUGGUGUGUGUGUGAUAUAUACUGUGUAUAUAUAAUAUAUAUAUAGUCCUUGCAUAA